CCAAGCAAGCCUACUUAUAUAAUCCUGCUCAUCAUUCCAUCAACUAUUCUUAAAGUCACCUUUCAUACUUCCAAUCUAUAAGAACCUAAUUAAUAUGCUAUAGCAAUCAAAACUACAUUUCACAUUAACCCAAAUAAUGUUAAACAUUGCCACUCAUGGUGGCUUACCAAUCAAAAUAUACAUAUAUGCUCUAAGGCUUCAUUUUAGUUCUUUACAUCACAUGCACGUAUUUAUAAACAAAAUGACUCUAGGCCUCCAGCGAAAUGACCAAGGUGAAGGGACGGCUACUGAAUGCCAACAUACCUACCAAAGAGACGAAACUACGUGGAAACCUCGGCCUAGGUUCCAACUACCUCCUAAUCUGAAAACAUGAAGUUGAAAAUAGUGAGUACAAACUCAGUGAGUGAACAUAAGAAGGGAACAAGCAACAAUAAGGAAAGCUGAUAAUCAUGAUGCACUUAUUUGAAAACAAUGCAACUUAGUUCAAGUUCUUAUUAAAAUCCCUCUAUUUAACCCUGGGUUGUAAAAUCAUUUAACGAUGAAGGAACCAUGUUCGGCAUAAAAUUAGAAAGAGAGGAAAUUUCCAACAAUCAUCCAAGCAAGGCAGCAUAAACAGCAUGUUUCUCACUGUAAUAAAAUCAAUUUGCAAGUCAAUGGGAAAUAUUCAAGAUUCAUCAUACCAUACAAUCACAUAUUAUAAUCAUGAUUUUUUUAUUGCAUAUACAUAUACUUAAGCAUAUACCAAUUCGUAUACCACCCCAUUUCACCCAGCUCAUGUGCAUCCCCCCACAUCGUGCACAUAGUCGGACACCCCAUCUCAACCAGCUCAUGUGCAUCCCCCCACAUCGUGCACACAACCGGACACCCCAUCUCACUUAGCUCAUGUGCAUCCCCCUACAUCGUGCACAUAGCUAGAGUCAUCAUGUGCAUCCCCCCACAUCGUGCACAGUUAAUGCCAUCGUGUGCAUCCCCCCACAUCGUGCACAGUCAAUGCCAUCGUGUGCAUCCCCCCACAUCGUGCACACGUGCAGUAUCACCAUCCAUCUCCCUCACCACCGUCAUCACUGGCAAGUGCACAUUCACCCCGCACAUGCACGGUUGCAUUUGUCACACAAUGGUACCAUUUAUGACAUAGUAUAUAUAUAUAUAUAUAUAUAUAUAUAUAUAUCAACNGUACCAUUUAUGACAUAGUAUAUAUAUACAUCAACUUUAUACAGAAACAUAUGAAUUCAUCACACAAUCCAUUUCAUAACAUAAAAACAUUUCAUAAGGGCUUGUUCCUGUGCAAGUUUUGAAGAAAGAACCAAGUAAAACAUUUUAGGGGAUUCAAUCAAAUAUAUAUGUGUAUAUCCCAAAACCUUUUAAUGCAAGUUCACUCAUCGGUACUUGUUGAACCUUUAGUCGACUCUAACUUUCCUAAUGGUUCAAAUGGGGCUGAGGGACCUUGUUGGAACCUAUCACGCACAAAAACAUCACAGCUAGACAAAUUUACAUUAAUAUCACUCCAAAAACUGUUUCCCAAUUCAAGCUUCAAUAGCCCCUCCUAUCUACCUUCCAAUUACCAUUUGAUUGGCUAUUCCAUUUCUCUACUUUAGUAACACUAACACAACUCGUAACUCUAAUUACUAGCCAUCAUCAAUAACUUAAAACCAAUCCUAAUUCAUCACUCACCUUUGUGGAUGGUAAUGAAAUUUCUUCCUAAGAGUCCUCAAGCUGUCAUGAAACCUUUUUUUCUCUCUCUACAAAGUUCAGCUGGUGAGAAAAAGUAUUCAAAAAAGACUUUUAAGGCUUUGUUUAAGGUGAAGGAGUAAAAGAGUAUGAAAAACCCUACAACAGGGUGUGUAAAGAACGAAAAUUGAGGUUAGUUUGAGAGAGUGAUGGAAGCUUGAGAAAAACUUUCAUGGAAGAGGAGAAAAAUGUGAGAUGGGAUGAGGAAAA
rnacentral:lncRNA from 1 species